rnacentral:rRNA from 1 species
UACAGAGGUCUCAAGCGUUGUUCGGAUUCAUUGGGCGUAAAGGGUGCGUAGGUGGCGCUGUAAGUCGGGUGUGAAAUUUCGGAGCUUAACUCCGAAACUGCAUUCGAUACUGCGGUGCUUGAGGACUGGAGAGGAGACUGGAAUUCAUGGUGUAGCAGUGAAAUGCGUAGAGAUCCGGAAGAACACCGGUGGCGAAGGCGGUCUGCUGGGGUAAUGCUGACACUGAUGCGCGACAGCGUGGGGAGCAAACAGG